rnacentral:sRNA from 1 species
AGCGAAAAUUAUAUGUUCGGACAUUGUUUUCGAAUAUUUUGCAUGUAUCAAAGCUCUUAUAAAGAAGAUAGGGUAUUCCUACAUAGCUGGUGGGACCCACGGCAUAUGGAUCAUAAAGUCUUCAAAAAAGAAUAAAUACGAUUGCAUUGCAUGUAGUAACGGAUGCGAACAUACCAACAUUAAUGCACUGGAUCCCAUCAGAACUCUACAGUUAAGCGUGCUUGGGCGAGAGUAGUACUAGGUUGGGUGAUUCUCGGAAAGUCCUCGUGUUGCAUCCCUCUUUUGUUUUCGGUUUUUCUCUUUUUUUUUG